rnacentral:rRNA from 1 species
ACCCGCUGAACUUAAGCAUAUCAAUAAGCGGAGGAAAAGAAACCAACAGGGAUUGCCCUAGUAACGGCGAGUGAAGCGGCAACAGCUCAAAUUUGAAAUCUGGCUCUUUUAGAGUCCGAGCUGUAAUUUGCAGAGGGCGCUUUGGCUUUGGCAGCGGUCCAAGUUCCUUGGAACAGGACGUCACAGAGGGUGAGAAUCCCGUACGUGGUCGCUGGCUAUUGCCGUGUAAAGCCCCUUCGACGAGUCGAGUUGUUUGGGAAUGCAGCUCUAAAUGGGAGGUACAUUUCUUCUAAAGCUAAAUAUUGGCCAGAGACCGAUAGCGCACAAGUAGAGUGAUCGAAAGAUGAAAAGCACUUUGGAAAGAGAGUCAAACAGCACGUGAAAUUGUUGAAAGGGAAGCGCUUGCAGCCAGACUUGCUUGCAGUUGCUCAUCCGGGCUUUUGCCCGGUGCACUCUUCUGUAGGCAGGCCAGCAUCAGUUUGGGCGGUAGGAUAAAGGUCUCUGUCACGUACCUCUCUUCGGGGAGGCCUUAUAGGGGAGACGACAUACUACCAGCCUGGACUGAGGUCCGCGCAUCUGCUAGGAUGCUGGCGUAAUGGCUGU